CCUACGGGAGGCAGCAGUGGGGAAUAUUGGGCAAUGGAGGCAACUCUUACCCAGCAAUGCCGCGUGAAUGAAGAAGGUCUUCGGAUUGUAAAGUUCUUUAAUUGGGGACGAAAAAAAUGACGGUACCCAAGGAAUAAGCCCCGGCUAACUACGUGCCAGCAGCCGCGGUAAUACGUAGGGGGCAAGCGUUGUUCGGAUUGACUGGGCGUAAGGGGUGUGUAGGCGGUGUAGCAAGUUCGAAGUGAAAUCCCUAGAGCUUAACUCAGGUGCUGCUUCUAAAACUGCUUAACUGGAGUGCAGUAGAGGAAAGUGGAAUUCCAAGGGUGGCGGUGGAAGGGUUAGAUAUUAGGAGGACAUCAGUGGCGAAGGCGACUUUCUGGACUGUAACUGACGCUGAGGCACGAAAGUGUGGGGAGCAAACAGGAUUAGAUACCCUGGUAGUC
rnacentral:rRNA from 1 species